GGCUACGUAGCUCAGUUGGGUUAGAGCACAUCACUCAUAAUGAUGGGGUCACAGGUUCGAAUCCCGUCGUAGCCACCA
rnacentral:tRNA from 1 species